GAAUUGUUAGUCAAAUUUGAUUGGAAUCCAAUCAGUGAAAAGUGGUUUUUGAUUUCCUGAUAACUUCGAUUUUGUUCAUUUUUCGCGAAUUGUUAGUCUAAUUCGAUUGAAAUUGAGUCAAUGAAAAGUGAUUUUUGAUUUCAUAAAAAUUUUCGAUUUGUUCGUUUUUGACGAAUUGCUAAUCAAAUUCUAUUUGGCUAGAGUCAAUAAAAAGUGGUUUUUGAUUUCAUGAUAACUACUCUAUACAAUUGCUCCCCUCCUUUUUUGAAUAAAAAUGGAAAGGAAAUUACAUACGCAAUAACAAAAGGUCGAGGUUCGGUUGAAGGGUGGCACCACCGCCAGACAGCAAUCCCAGCCACCGCAGAGUACAGGUUCAGUUUGUUCUAGGGUCCAAAUAACAGCAGCUGCUCUGCCAAGCCAGCUUAUACACAUUCAUGUGAUCCUUACACACCCAAUCAUUUAAACCACUGCGGUACUAGCUUUUGAUCUGGGCGCACCGACACUUCAGGGCCGGUUACUUAAUUGCUGCAGAGAGCCAUCCAAUGGCCCUCUCAAAGGUCCAAACAACAAACUGAAACUUACUGCGUGCUAGUCCAGGGACGCAAACUGCUGGCGAUGUAGCCACCAUGACAAGCCUUCCGCCGCCUUAUUGCCCCCACUUGGGUUACAGGCACGCGUUACUGCACCCGGCAGCCACACGUCUAGGCAUAGGUAAUAUAAAGUGUGAAAAACUUUUAAAGAUUCUCGAUGUGGGACAAUAUAGUAAACGACAUAGUUUUGCAGAAAAUUCUACGCUGCGGUCUCAUGGAGGCAAUGUUGCAGCUUAGGUACCUCGAAUCCUUCCCCUCUCUCAAACCGCUCUGUAUUCUCUCUCUAAAGCAUGGAUUUUUGGAGGGUUUUGCUUUGCGAAGAGGAAAUGGGCUUGACAACCAUCGAAAAACCGGGUCGAGUUAUGGCCCAUAAUGUUAACGUGUAUAUAAUUGCAGUGAUUUAAGUUUACAAGGAUAUGUCUGGGAUUACCUCUUCAUUCAUCUUCUGCUUUUUAUAAAUGAAUCACUUUGGGUUUUAAAAAGCUUUAUUAACCAAAUAAAACACUCUUAGAAAAUUAUCCAAAUAAAUCAAAAUUCAACUACUUUAUCCCGAUCUCGUAUGAACUAAAAUCUAUAUUUUAAUUUAAAUCAAAGUCAAUUAAUUUUAAGUAUACAUGUCGUAAACUUUUAUCGAAAUUUAUUAAGUAUCUAACUUUAAUUCUUACCAAAUAUGGACUAGUCUCCAAAGACAUACUAAACAAGCCCUCAAUUUGUUUCAUCUCUAACAACUUAAAGGCUUAGAUCAUUAUGGUCAUUGCCAAUUUAGGAAAAUAGGCAUUUGGAAUAAUGAUAUUUGAUUACUAGGGGAAAUUUUUGUUAUAUCUAACUUAACCUUUCAAAUCACAUUGUUUAAUCGUGAUUAACUCCUAAUAAUGAAUGUAUAUCAGCAUCAUCCUUAAUGAAUGAAAAUAUCUAAUUCAACUGUUAAAAUAUAUAUAUAUAUAUAUAUAUAUAUAUAUAUAAAUUAAGGAAUCUUAAUAUUUAAUCAUCGUUGAGCUCGAUGGAACUUGUACUAAUAUGCUUAACAAAAAAUAAGAAAAAAAUAAUAUUUGUCUAAUAAAGCGUCCAAUACAAUCAAAUAUGGGAUAUCGAAAAAAAAAAUACGCAAUAAAAAUUUUUGUUCCCUGAAUAUCAAAAAUCUCCUCUCCUCUAACCAGCUACUUUGCUCAUUUCUCCCUAUGCCAAAAACAUAUAGAUUUAUCAAUGACGGCUCCUGGCUCAUUUCCCCCUUUGUUGCAGGUAAUUUCUUUGAUUCUUGAUGCUCAAUAGUAUUCUCUAAUCCUCCUCCGUAAUGGGAUUAGCUUAUAAAGAAGUAGAAAAUAUCUAGGACUACAAUGUUAUAUAUCACGAUUUCCUACUAAAACAAUGCAAUCACCAGCAUAGUAUAAUCCGAAAAUUUCUAGAAGAUAUUUCCCUUGAGCAAGAGGUUCAUUUGUAAAGCAAAGCUCAAAUAUGAAUACUAUGGUCAUUGGUUAUCUUUUCUUUUACUGCUGUUCUCUGGAGGAAGUGCUGUGAACUGGAUGAUCCUUUGAACUUGGGCAGCAUCGACAUGAAACCUCUCAGCAAUUUGAGGAAUAUUCAUAGGACCAUCAUGAUCAUCAGCCUUGCCUUGGUGCAGCAGGAUGAUUUGGCGUAUUUGUGCAACAUUUAGGGUUCCGGGAGGAGCAGGUAAUUCCUCGUAUCUGCUAGAAUCUAGUGUCGUAUUCCUUAGUUUAGGCAAAGGCCUUUUGUACUUCUCCACCAAAAAGGCCUGUGAAAAUAGUUCGGGGUCAAUAAUAGAUUCGCUUGAUAUAAACAAAAAUAGCCGAAGGACUCGAUCAUUCAAAUUCACUAUCAGCCCCUUAAUGAGCCGUACGAAAUGGCAAAAAAGAUUUGUAUAGCCAACCUCAAAUUUGUUAAGAACGAGGCUCAGUUCAAAAAUACUCUGUUUAGACCAUUCCAAUUCAAACAUAACACAACUGACUGCAAACUCAUGCCUGAUAAGUUUGUUCUAGGGUCCAAAUAACAGCAGCUGCUAUGCCAAGCCAGCUUAUACACAUUCAUGUGAUCCUUACACACCCAAUCAUAUAAACCACUGCGGUACUAGCUUUUGAUCUGGGCGCACCGACACUUCAGGGCCGGUUACUUAAUUGCUGCAGAGAGCCAUCCAAUGGCCCUCUCAAAGGUCCAAACAACAAACUGAAACUUACUGCGUGCUAGUCUAGGGAUGGCAAACUGCUGGCGAUGUAGCCACCAUGACAAGCCUUCCGCCGCCUUAUUGCCCCCACUUGGGUUACAGGCACGCGUUACUG
rnacentral:lncRNA from 1 species